rnacentral:rRNA from 1 species
AACGAACGCUGGCGGCAUGCCUAACACAUGCAAGUCGAACGAGACCUUCGGGUCUAGUGGCGCACGGGUGCGUAACGCGUGGGAAUCUGCCCUUGGGUUCGGAAUAACAGUUAGAAAUGACUGCUAAUACCGGAUAAUGUCUUCGGACCAAAAGAUUUAUCGCCCAGGGAUGAGCCCGCGUAGGAUUAGCUAGUUGGUGAGGUAAAGGCUCACCAAGGCGACGAUCCUUAGCUGGUCUGAGAGGAUGAUCAGCCACACUGGGACUGAGACACGGCCCAGACUCCUACGGGAGGCAGCAGUGGGGAAUAUUGGGACAAUGGGCGAAAGCCUGAUCCAGCAAUGCCGCGUGAGUGAUGAAGGCCUUAGGUUGUAAAGCUCUUUACCCGGAUGAUAAUGACAGUACCGGGAGAAUAAGCCCCGGCUAACUCCGUGCCAGCAGCCGCGGUAA